rfam:Pteropus alecto contig104256, whole genome shotgun sequence.
CCAAAGGCUCUUUUCAGAGCCACCCACCGGUCUCUAGAGGAGAGCU